ensembl:lncRNA
UAAUUUCGGGAAAUUGUGUUAAUUACGUCUUUAUUUCGAGUAUAUUUUCGAUGUAACUAGUUGUUUUAAUUAACGCCGCGCUGAACCAGCGCAAGAAUGAGCAAACAAACUCGGAAAAGUCAGGCACAACAACAAACUCUCCCCUUCUCUGGUCGGGAAGCUAGCAACAUGGCGUCGGGUCCUUCCCCUCUUACUUUUGAAACCCUCAUCACUGAACUGGAAAAAUCAAGGAAAAGCACCACCGCGGAGCUCACCGCCUCUAUGACCGCGGCCCUUGCCCCGAUUAAUUCGGCUCUUGAGUCUAUCGCCGCUACCGUGGCUAAACAUACUUCUACAAUUUCGGAGAUGGAAACAACUCUCUCGACCCACUCGGAUAACAUCACCAGCCUGGAGCAAGACGUAGUGGAACUACGCUCCAAGUUAACCUCGUUGACGGAAGAGCAUGGAGCUCUCCAGGCUACCGUGGAGGACUUGGUGUCUCGAUCAAAGCGACAGAACUUAAGGGUGAUUGGGCUUCCUGAAGACGUCGAAGGUAAUAACCCAAGACAAUUCAUGGCAGAUUUAUUCAAGGAAGUGGCUGCAGAGGCUCUAUCGAAUUCUACACCUGAACUAGACCGUGCCCAUCGCAGUCUCGGACCCAAACCUCGUCAAGGCUCCCGCCCUGUGAUAGUGCGCUUUCACCGCUACAUCGACAAAGAGAGAGUCUUAUUGUGGGCAAAAAAACACAGCAACAUGACGUAUCGGGGCCAUAACAUCAAGUUUUACGAGGACUUCAGCGCUGCAGUGGCGAAGAGGCGAGCUGCCUUCAACCAUGUGAAAUCCUUGCUUUUUAAGAAAGGGAUACGGUUCGGCAUGAUCUACCCUGCCCGGUUGCGUGUCACUUUCAACGGUGUGACCCACACCUUUGACUCCCCAGAGCAGGCGGAGUUGUUUUACGAGGAACGCAUAUGCGACUCAUGAGUGAGGGAGCAAGUGGAACGAGCACCGACAUAGGUGAACUUACGAUUUUCUUUG